AUUGAACGCUAGCGGGAUGCUUUACACAUGCAAGUCGAACGAGUGGCGGACGGGUGAGUAAUAUAUCGGAACGUGCCCAAUAGCGGGGGAUAACUACUCGAAAGAUUGGCUAAUACCGCAUACUAUUGUAUCGGCCGAUAUCGCCUUAGCUAGUUGGUGGGGAAAAGGCUCACAAAGGCAACGAUCCGUAGCUGGGUUGAGAGGCCGACCAGCCACACUGGGACUGAGACACGGCCCAGACUCCUACGGGAGGCAGCAGUGGGGAAUUUUGGACAAUGGGGGAAACUCUGAUCCAGCCAUCCCGCGUGUAUGAGAAGGCCUUCGGGUUGUAAAGUACUUUUGGCAGAGAAGCGGUAUCUGCAGAAUAAGCAACGGCUAACUACGUGCCAGCAGCCGCGGUAAUUC
rnacentral:rRNA from 1 species